rnacentral:rRNA from 1 species
AACCUCUGCAAUAGGCGAAAGCUUGACAGGGUUACUCUGAGUGAUUUCCGUUAAGGAGAUCUUUUGGCACCUUGGUGCAGAAUAAGGGGUGGCAAGCUGGUGUCAGCCGCCGCGGUAAUACCAGCACCCCGAGUGGUCGGGACGAUUAUUGGGCCUAAAGCAUCCGUAGCCGGUUCUACAAGUCUUCCGUUAAAUCCACCUGCUCAACAGAUGGGCUGCGGAGGAUACUAUAGAGCUAGGAGGCGGGAGAGGCAAGCGGUACUUAGUGGUAGGGUAAAAAUCCGUGGAUCCAUUGAGGACCACCAGUGGCGAAGGCGGCUUGCCAGAACGCCUCGA